ACCUUCACCUCCAGAUGGCUUGGCAACUCCGGUUGCGCCUCCUCAACCUCCGCCUUCGUCCUCUCAGCAAAAUACCGCUGACGCCGUUGAGGGCAUGGAGGUUGAUGGUUCAUCUUCUCAACCUUCACCUCCAGAUGGCUUGGCAACUCCUGUUGUGCCUCUUCAACCUCUGCCUCCGUCCUCUCUG